UGUCAAGUCAGCAUGGCCUUUAUAUCCUGGGCUACACACACGCUACAAUGGCCAACACAAUAGGUUGCUAAGCCGCGAGGUGGCGCCAAUCCAUAAAAGUUGGUCUCAGUUCAGAUUGUAGGCUGCAACCCGCCUGCAUGAAGAUGGAGUUGCUAGUAACCGCAGGUCAGCUAUACUGCGGUGAAUACGUUCCCGGGGCUU
rnacentral:rRNA from 1 species